GGUAGGAUGGCUGAGUUGAAAGUAGUAAACUGUAAAUUUAUUUAGGAGGGUUUCCUCUUCUACCA
rnacentral:tRNA from 1 species